rnacentral:rRNA from 1 species
CGUGGAGACAGGUGGUGCAUGGCUGUCGUCAGCUCGUGUCGUGAGAUGUUGGGUUGAGUCCCGCAACGAGCGCAACCCUCACCCCUAGUUGCGACCGGGUUAUGCCGAGCACUCGAGGGGAACUGCCAGCGUCAAGCUGGAGGAAGGCGGGGAUGACGUCAAGUCAUCAUGCCCCUUACGCCCUGGGCUACACACGUGCUACAAUGGCCAGUACAAAGGGAUGCGAGACUGCGAAGUGGAGCUAAUCCCAAAAAGCUGGUCUAAGUUCAGAUUGCAGUCUGCAACUCGACUGCAUGAAGGAGGAAUCGCUAGUAAUCGCGCAUCAGCACGGCGCGGUGAAUACGUUCCCGGGCCUUGUACACACCGCCCGUCACACCACGAAAGCUGUCUGUACUCGAAGUCGCUGAG